GGUCAAGUAAUGAAGUGCACAUGGUGGAUGCCUUGGCAGUCAGAGGCGAUGAAAGACGUGAUAGCCUGCGAUAAGCGUCGGUGAGGUGGCAAUAUCCUGUGACCCGGCGAUUUCUGAAUGGGGAAACCCAACCAACACAAGUUGGUUAUUACACAGUUUACUGUGUAAGGCAAACCGGGAGAAGUGAAACAUCUCAGUACCCCGAGGAAAAGACAUCAAAUGAGAUUCCGUAAGUAGCGGCGAGCGAACACGGAGGAGCCGAUCAAUUUUACAGUAGCAAAAUGGCGUGGGAAAGCCAACCAUAGUAGGUGAUAGUCCUGUAUGCGAAACUGUUUAAGCGACAUAUUAAGUAGGGCGGAACACGAGAAAUUCUGUCUGAAGAUGGGGGGACCAUCCUCCAAGGCUAAAUACUCCUGACUGACCGAUAGUGAACCAGUACCGUGAGGGAAAGGCGAAAAGAACCCCUGUUAGGGGAGUGAAAUAGAACCUGAAACCGUGUGCAUACAAGCAGUCGGAGCGGACUUGUUCCGUGACGGCGUACCUUUUGUAUAAUGGGUCAGCGACUUAUAUUCUGUAGCAAGGUUAACCGAAUAGGGGAGCCGUAGGGAAACCGAGUCUUAAUAGGGCGAAUGAGUUGCAGGGUAUAGACCCGAAACCGAGUGAUCUAUCCAUGAGCAGGUUGAAAGUGCCGUAACAGGCACCGGAGGACCGAACCCACUGUCGUUGAAAAGCCAGGGGAUGACUUGUGGAUAGGGGUGAAAGGCUAAUCAAACUCGGUGAUAGCUGGUUCUCCCCGAAAGCUAUUUAGGUAGCGCCUCGGACGAACACCAUUGGGGGUAGAGCACUGUUUCGGCUAGGGGGUCACACCGACUUACCAAACCGAUGCAAACUCCGAAUACCGAUGAGUGAUAUCCGGGAGACAGACGGCGGGUGCUAACGUCCGUCGUCAAGAGGGAAACAACCCAGACCGCCAGCUAAGGCCCCAAAUUCCUAGUUAAGUGGGAAACGAUGUGGGAAGGCACAGACAGCUAGGAGGUUGGCUUAGAAGCAGCCACCCUUUAAAGAAAGCGUAAUAGCUCACUAGUCGAGUCGGCCUGCGCGGAAGAUGUAACGGGGCUCAAACUAGGAGCCGAAGCUGCGGAUUUAAUUGUUUCAAUUAAGUGGUAGGGGAGCGUUGUGUAAGCCUGUGAAGGUGCACUGUAAGGUGUGCUGGAGGUAUCACAAGAGCGAAUGCUGACGUGAGUAACGACAAAACGGGUGAAAAGCCCGUUCGCCGGAAGACCAAGGGUUCCAGUCCAACGUUAAUCGGGGCUGGGUGAGUCGACCCCUAAGGCGAGGCCGAAAGGCGUAGUCGAUGGGAAAUCGGUUAAUAUUCCGAUACUUGUUUAUGAUGCGAUGGAGGGACGGAGAAGGUUAUGCCAGCCUGGCGAUGGUUGUCCAGGUGGAAGGAUGUAGUUAGACUGAGUAGGCAAAUCCGCUCGGUUAUUAAUGAGAUCUGAUAGCAAGCCAGUUUACUGGCGAAGUGGCAAAUACCCUGCUUCCAGGAAAAGCUUCUAAGCGAUAGUCAUAAACGAAUCGUACCCGAAACCGACACAGGUGGUCAGGUAGAGAAUACCAAGGCGCUUGAGAGAACUCUGCUGAAGGAACUAGGCAAAAUGGUACCGUAACUUCGGGAGAAGGUACGCUGCCGGUGGUGAAAUCCUCGCGAUGUAAGCUACUGGCAGUCGCAGAUACCAGGCUGCUGCAACUGUUUAUUAAAAACACAGCACUCUGCAAACACGAAAGUGGACGUAUAGGGUGUGAUGCCUGCCCGGUGCUGGAAGGUUAAUUGAUGGGGUUAGCGUAAGCGAAGCUCUUGAUCGAAGCCCCAGUAAACGGCGGCCGUAACUAUAACGGUCCUAAGGUAGCGAAAUUCCUUGUCGGGUAAGUUCCGACCUGCACGAAUGGCAUAAUGAUGGCAGCGCUGUCUCCAGCAGAGACUCAGUGAAAUCGAAAUCGCAGUGAAGAUGCUGUGUACCCGCGGCUAGACGGAAAGACCCCGUGAACCUUUACUACAGCUUUACAUUGAACUUUGACCUAACUUGUGUAGGAUAGGUGGGAGGCUUUGAAGCAGAUACGCCAGUAUUUGUGGAGCCAACCUUGAAAUACCACCCUGGUUAUGUUGGGGUUCUAACUUAGGAUUAACAAAUCCAAGGACAAUGUAUGGUGGGUAGUUUGACUGGGGCGGUCUCCUCCUAAAGAGUAACGGAGGAGUACGAAGGUGCGCUCAGAACGGUCGGAAAUCGUUCAAAGAGUAUAAAGGCAAAAGCGCGCUUAACUGCGAGACCCACAAGUCGAGCAGGUACGAAAGUAGGUCUUAGUGAUCCGGUGGUUCUGUAUGGAAGGGCCAUCGCUCAACGGAUAAAAGGUACUCUGGGGAUAACAGGCUGAUACCGCCCAAGAGUUCAUAUCGACGGCGGUGUUUGGCACCUCGAUGUCGGCUCAUCUCAUCCUGGGGCUGAAGCAGGUCCCAAGGGUAUGGCUGUUCGCCAUUUAAAGAGGUACGCGAGCUGGGUUUAGAACGUCGUGAGACAGUUCGGUCCCUAUCUACCGUGGGCGUUGGAAAUUUGAGAGGAUCUGCUCCUAGUACGAGAGGACCAGAGUGGACGAACCUCUGGUGUUCCGGUUGUUUCGCCAGAAGCAUCGCCGGGUAGCUACGUUCGGAUGGGAUAACCGCUGAAAGCAUCUAAGCGGGAAGCCCACCUCAAGAUAAGAUUUCCCUAAAGAGCCGUUGUAGACUACGACGUUGAUAGGUUGGGUGUGGAAGUGUAGUGAUACAUGUAGCUAACCAAUACUAAUUGCUCGUUUGGCUUGACCAU
rnacentral:rRNA from 1 species